UUCCGGUUGAUCCUGCCGGAGGCGACCGCUUUUGGAGUUCGAUUAAGCCAUGCGAGUAGAAAGAAAUUAGAUUCUUUGCGAACUGCUCAGUAACACGUGGAUAACCUGCCCUAUGCUCUGGGAUAACCUCGGGAAACUGAGAAUAAUACCCCAUAGUCCACUACGCCUGGAACGGUGAGUGGAUCAAAGCUCCGGCGGCAUAGGAUGGGCCUGCGGCGUAUCAGGUUGUAGGGGGUGUAAUGUACCCUCUAGCCAUCCACGCGUACGGGUGUUGGGAGACAUUGCCCGGAGAUGGAUUCUGAGACACGAAUCCAGACCCUACGGGGUGCAGCAGGCGCGAAAACUUGGCAAUGCGAGAAAUCGUGACCAGGGAACUCCAAGUGGCAGGGGUAAGACCCUGUCUUUUUCCGACUCUAAAUAGGUCGGCGAAUAAGGGGUGGGUAAGGACGGUGCCAGCCGCCGCGGUAAUACCGGCGCCUCAAGUGGUAGUCGCUUUUAUUGGGCCUAAAACGUCCGUAGCCGGUCUGGUACAUUCGUGGGUAAAUCAACUCGCUUAACGAGUUGAAUUCUGCGAGGACGGCCAGACUUGGGACCGGGAGAGGUGUGGGGUACUCUCAGGGUAGGGGUAAAAUCCUGUCAUCCUGAGAGGACCACCUGUUGCGAAGGCUCCACACUAGAACGGAUCCGACGGUCAGGGACGAAGCCUAGGGGCACGAACCGGAUUAGAUACCCGGGUAGUCCUAGGUGUAAACGCUGUGGACUUGAUGUUGGGGACGCUCCGAGCGUUCUCAGUGUCGAAGCGAAGGUGAUAAGUCCACUGCCUGGGGAGUACGGUCGCAAGGCUGAAACUUAAAGGAAUUGGCGGGGGAGCACCGCAACCUGAGGAUUGUGCGGUUUAAUUGGAUUCAACGCCGGA
rnacentral:rRNA from 1 species